rnacentral:rRNA from 1 species
CUGCCCUUCGGCGGGGGACAACAGUCCGAAAGGAUUGCUAAUACCGCAUACGUCAGCGAGGUCUUUGGACUUCGUUGGGAAAGGUGGCCUCUUCAUGAAAGCUACCACCGAAGGAUGAGUCUGUGUCCCAUCAGCUUGUUGGCGGUGUAAAAGACCACCAAGGCUACGACGGGUAGCUGGUCUGAGAGGAUGAUCAGCCACACUGGAACUGAGACACGGUCCAG